rnacentral:rRNA from 1 species
UACGUAGGGACCAAGCGUUGUUCGGAUUUACUGGGCGUAAAGGGCGCGUAGGCGGCAAUUCAAGUCAUCUGUGAAAUCUCCGGGCUUAACUCGGAAUAGUCAGGUGAUACUGCUUUGCUAGAGUGCAGAAGGGGCAAUCGGAAUUCUUGGUGUAGCGGUGAAAUGCGUAGAUAUCAAGAGGAACACCUGAGGUGAAGACGGGUUGCUGGACCGACACUGACGCUGAGGCGCGAAAGCUAGGGGAGCAAACGGG